rnacentral:rRNA from 1 species
AGAGUUUGAUCAUGGCUCAGAACGAACGCUGGCGGCGUGCCUAACACAUGCAAGUCGAACGCGAAAGUCCUUCGGGAUGAGUAAAGUGGCGCACGGGUGAGUAACACGUAGGUGACCUGCCUUUUAGAGGGGAAUAACCAGAAGAAAUUUUGGCUAAUGCCGCAUACGAAGUACAAAUCUAAGAGUAGUACUUGAAAGGAUGCCUCUGUAUAUGCAUCCACUAAAAGAUGGGCCUGCGGUACAUUAGCUAGUUGGUGGGGUAAAGGCCUACCAAGGCAACGAUGUAUAUCCGGUCUGAGAGGAUGAUCGGACACACUGGAACUGAGACACGGUCCAGACUCCUACGGGAGGCAGCAGUGGGGAAUAUUGCGCAAUGGGGGAAACCCUGACGCAGCAACGCCGCGUGAGUGAGGAAGGACUUCGGUCUGUAAAGCUCUGUUAAUGUGGAAAAAUGGUAGUUGGUCUAAUAGGCCGAUUAUUUGAUGGUACACAUAGAGGAAGCACCGGCUAACUUCGUGCCAGCAGCCGCGGUAAUACGAAGGGUGCAAGCGUUGUUCGGAUUUAUUGGGCGUAAAGCGCGCGUAGGCGGACCUGUAAGUCAGAUGUGAAAUCUCGGGGCUCAACCCCGAAACUGCGUCUGAAACUGCAGGUCUAGAAUCUUGGAGGGGGAAGGGGAAUUUCGCAUGUAGGGGUAAAAUCCGUAGAUAUGCGAAGGAACACCAGAGGCGAAGGCGCCUUCCUGGACAAGUAUUGACGCUGAGGCGCGAAAGCGUGGGGAUCAAACAGGAUUAGAUACCCUCGUAGUCC